GACGAACGCUGGCGGCGUGCCUAAUACAUGCAAGUAGAACGCACAGUUUAUACCGUAGCUUGCUACACCAUAGACUGUGAGUUGCGAACGGGUGAGUAACGCGUAGGUAACCUGCCUGGUAGCGGGGGAUAACUAUUGGAAACGAUAGCUAAUACCGCAUAAUAUUGAUUAUUGCAUGAUAAUUGAUUGAAAGAUGCUAUUGCAUCACUACCAGAUGGACCUGCGUUGUAUUAGCUAGUAGGUGAGGUAACGGCUCACCUAGGCGACGAUACAUAGCCGACCUGAGAGGGUGAUCGGCCACACUGGGACUGAGAGACGGCCCAGACUCCUACGGGAGGCAGCAGUAGGGAAUCUUCGGCAAUGGACGAAAGUCUGACCGAGCAACGCCGCGUGAGUGAAGAAGGUUUUCGGAUCGUAAAGCUCUGUUGUAAGAGAAGAACGGGUGUGAGAGUGGAAAGUUCACACUGUGACGGUAUCUUACCAGAAAGGGACGGCUAACUACGUG
rnacentral:rRNA from 1 species